rnacentral:rRNA from 1 species
UACGUAGGGGGGCAAGCGUUGUCCGGAUUUAUUGGGCGUAAAGAGCGUGUAGGCGGCCUGGAAGGUCAGCUGUGAAAACUCGAGGCUCAACCUCGAGACGUCGGUUGAAACCACCUGGCUAGAGUCCGGAAGAGGAGAGUGGAAUUCCCGGUGUAGCGGUGAAAUGCGCAGAUAUCGGGAAGAACACCCGUGGCGAAGGCGGCUCUCUGGGACGGUACUGACGCUGAGACGCGAAAGCGUGGGGGAGCGAACAGG